UGGUUGGCCAGGAGUUAAAGACUUGU
rnacentral:piRNA from 1 species